rnacentral:rRNA from 1 species
CCUACGGGUUGCACCAGUGGGGAAUAUUGCACAAUGGGCGCAAGCCUGAUGCAGCCAUGCCGCGUGUAUGAAGAAGGCCUUCGGGUUGUAAAGUACUUUCAGCGGGGAGGAAGGGGAUGUGGUUAAUAACCGCAUUCAUUGACGUUACCCGCAGAAGAAGCACCGGCUAACUCCGUGCCAGCAGCCGCGGUAAUACGGAGGGUGCAAGCGUUAAUCGGAAUUACUGGGCGUAAAGCGCACGCAGGCGGUCUGUCAAGUCGGAUGUGAAAUCCCCGGGCUCAACCUGGGAACUGCAUUCGAAACUGGCAGGCUUGAGUCUCGUAGAGGGGGGUAGAAUUCCAGGUGUAGCGGUGAAAUGCGUAGAGAUCUGGAGGAAUACCGGUGGCGAAGGCGGCCCCCUGGACGAAGACUGACGCUCAGGUGCGAAAGCGUGGGGAGCAAACAGGAUUAGAUACCCGCGUAGUC